rnacentral:rRNA from 1 species
CCCUACGGGGCGCAGCAGUGGGGGAUAUUGCACAAUGGGGGAAACCCUGAUGCAGCAACGCCGCGUGAGGGAAGAAGGUUUUCGGAUUGUAAACCUCUGUCAUUGGUGAAGAUAAUGACGGUAGCCAAUGAGGAAGCUCCGGCUAACUACGUGCCAGCAGCCGCGGUAAUACGUAGGGAGCGAGCGUUGUCCGGAAUUACUGGGUGUAAAGGGUGCGUAGGCGGGGAAUUAAGUCAGGUGUGAAAUCCAUCGGCUCAACCGGUGAACUGCACUUGAAACUGAUUAUCUUGAGUGGAGUAGAGGCA